AGCCCCUUCCUGCUGGGCUGAGGGAAGAGGCCUUGGCUGGGUCCCCCCAUCUGUCCAGACUGAUUCUGAGGGCCUCCCUCACAGGAGGGCUCUUGCAUUGACCAGCGAGAGGCUAGCAUCCUGUCCCAAUGGGGCCUGCUGGGUGGUAGGGAGCAGUCCAGGCCCAGAUCAGCCGGCUCAGGCACAAAGGGACUUGCAGGCCGCAGCAUGGGCCUGUGAGGCUCUGGGUCUGGCCACCUUGCUCUCUAACCUCGGCCCCUCACACACCCCCACCUGCCUCGCUCACACCCAUCUUUCCCUGCCCCAUCACCAGGGCCCGAAGGCCACUGAAAUUCAGCAGCGUGGUGCCAACUCCCAGCCUCUGUACAACAGGAGGCGAGGGCGUGGGGGGUUUAUAGGCCUAGGCUGGGGCAGGCUGGGUGGCCAGGCAGGUUUGUGUGUGGUGGGGGGGGCGGGCUGGCUGGAGGAGGGAAGACUGGGGGCACUAGGCGGGGCCAGGCAUCAGUGCAGCUUCUGCUUCCUUGUUCGCAGAAACCUGUCUCCUUAGAAGGGGCCACCGUCCUCACCCACAACCCAAAGGUGCCAGCCAGAAGCGCCAUCCUGGGUUUUGGAAAAGAAACUAAAAAUAAACCCUGGGGUGGGGAACAUGCCCCUUCCUGGCUGGCUGGGGGCAGAUGGCCUGGAACUGGUCCCUGCAAGCACUGGGCCUGAUGCCCCUGGGUGAUGGCCAAGGCCACACAGAGGUCCCUCUGGGGAGUAUUCUCCCAAACACCCACAGCUUAAAAACAUCUCCCUACCUCCAUCAACCCCCACCCGAAUCAGAACCCAGCAGCACUUGCUUCACGCAGCCAAGGCCGUCACCACACUCCAGACACAUUUUCAAAUGCCAAAGAUAGUUUUUAUUUUGAAAUAAAAGCUUCACAGUUGCAAGGAUAGGAAGGAUUCUUUCCCCCUGAACCAUUUGAGAGUAAUUUGCAAAACUAACACUCCAUCACCCCUAAAUAGCUUAGUGUCUGUUUCCUUGGAAUAAAGACAUUGUCCUACGCAACCACAAAAACACACAAUACAUACGACACAACCACAACAUAACACACACCAUCACAACAUAGCACAACUGUCAGAGUCAGAAGAGUAACACCAUGCGUCCCUACCACGUGAUCCUUAGCUCCCAUUCAACUUUCAUAAGUUGUCCCAAUGAUGUUCUUUAAAAAAAAAGAAAAAGCUAUAUCAAGGUUUAAUUGAUAUAUAUGACUAUGCAUAUUUAAUGUAUACAGUUUGAUGAGUUUGGACAUGUGCAAACACCUGUGUGAAACCAUAGUCAAGGUCAUGAGCAUAUCCAUCACCCCCAAGUUUCCUCAUACCCAUUGGUUUUGUGUUUGUGGUGAGGGCACCUCUCACACAGAGUCCCAAUGCUCAGUACCAACUGUGAACUAUAGGUCUCUACAACCUGCUUGUCUGGCAUAGCUGAGACUUCCACUCCAGUUCUUUACGGCCAAAGGGUCCAGUCCAGAGUCACAUGUUGCCUUUGGAGGUCCCGUCUCUCUGUCUUCCUCACUCUGGAACACUCCUUAGUCUCUCCUUGACCUUUAUGACCUUGAUACUUUUGAAGAAUAUAGAUCAGUUGUUUGGUAGAAAGUCCCUCGAUUUGGCUUUCCCAGUGUUUCCUUGUAAUUAGCUGCAGGCUGUGCGUCUCUGUCUCGAGCACCAUGGAAGUGACACUGCAUCCUCACAGCAUCCCAUCAGCUGGCACCAUUUUGAUCGGUCCCAUCACUGGUGUUAACUUUGAUCAUGGGAUGGAAGCGGACAUCACUAGGACACCACUUCAAUCGCUGCAUCACCCUUCCAGGUGUCUGAGGUUUCGCACCAGUGCCUAGUACGUGCCCUUGGAACUGAAGAUUUAACUGUACUUAAAACAAUCAAGAUGACGCUGAUCAGACCACUGAUGACCAAUUUCAAGAUGACGGUCAGAGCUGACUGUGCUGUUUCUGCAUGUAGCCCCCUCCCUUCACCUAUAAAAACUCUUGCCAACUAAUCGUCAGCGGCAGGGAGUUGGCCUUUGGACAGGAAUCCGCCCUCCUCCCCAGGUUGCCAGCCUCUAAAAUAAAGCAAACUUUCCUUUCCACCAAA